GAUGAAGAACGCAGCGAAAUGCGAUACGUAAUGUGAAUUGCAGAAUUCAGUGAAUCAUCGAGUCUUUGAACGCACAUUGCGCCCUUUGGUAUUCCGAAGGGCAUGCCUGUUCGAGCGUCAUUAUCACCCCUCAAGCCCUCGGCUUGGUGUUGGAAGGUUUGGUGGAGGCCCCCUCGGGGGCUCCUGCCCCUCCCAAAGACAAUGACGGCGGCCUCGUUGGACCCCCGGUACACUGAGUUCUUCACGGGACACGUAUCGGACACAUGGGUUUACGGGACACGGUCUGCCUCCCCUCAGGGAGAAUCUUUCUAAGGUUGACCUCGGAUCAGGUAGGGAUACCCGCUGAACUUAAGCAUAUCAAUAAGCGGAGGA
rnacentral:misc_RNA from 1 species